rnacentral:misc_RNA from 1 species
AACGCACCUUGCGCCCUUUGGCUAUUCCGAAGGGCAUGCCUGUUUGAGUAUCAUGAACAUCUCAACUCUCAUGGUCUGCCAUGAUGAGCUUGGAUUUUGGGGGCCUUUGCUGGCUUGUGUCAGCUCCUCUCAAAGGAAUCAGCUUGCCAGUGUCUGGUGGCAUCACGAGUGUGAUAACUGUCUACGCUUGUGGUUUUCCACCAGGUAACCUUCAGCGAUGGAGGUUCACUGGGGCUCAUAAAUGUCUUUCCCCAGAGAAGACAGCUCUUUGAACAUUUGAUCUCAAAUCAGGUAGGACUACCCGCUGAACUUAA